CUGGAUACGGAGUGGACGUAGCAGUUCAGGAACCCCACCUCCUUUCCCAGCACGCUCUGCACCUCGUAAGUCUGCAGGAAUAAAAGCAUGCACCAACACGGUCCCUCCUGUUUAAUGAUCUGACCACAUUUCACCCAGGAGCUGUGCCUGAGCGAAUUUGCAGAGGCUGUGUUCUGCGUGGAGGAGAGGGAUGCAAGGCUGGCAUGGCUGCACUAAGAGGAGACAGCAUGUUAGCACAUGAACUAGCCUUGCCUACAACCAGCCUCUGGCCGUGCCCUGCCUUCAUCUGCAUGGUGCUUCUCUACAGACUGGUUCUGCAGUCCAGUUCACUGUGCAGCUGCACAAACAACUCUACUGGUGUAACAGAAGGGCUGCCACAAGGUGAGGAACAAGUGGCCAGGGCCAGUGACGGCUAAAACCAACCUCCCUGCCAAAAUAGUUGAUUGCAAAGCUACACCCUUAGAAACUUCAGCAGCACUUGCAAAAAAAAUGCCACCUCAAGUGGUAUUUCUUGUGACUAAUCUUUAUCCCUGUGUUUCAGCCAGGGAAGAAAAAAAAUCUGAGUUGCCAGACUUUUAAAUACUGGCAUUAUACACACUGAAAAUGAAAAAAAGAGGUUGUUUGAAUUCUAAUAACUCGAAAAAGAACUAUGUUUUGCCAGUCUGUAACCAAACCAGACACAUCCUGUAAAACUCAGCAAGACUUAACUGCUAUUAAAGGAGCAAACACGUUUUGCAAAUUUCUUGUAUCUCUUUGCUUAAAUGAAAUAUACAUCCUUCUCCAGCAUAAGAAAAUAAUUUAUUAUUUCAGAGUAAUUUUCCACUUUAAAUAGUACCCACAAAUCCCACUAAAGGCAUGGAGCAUGUAAUAGGAAAAUGGUGGAAAACUUGUAAGACAGGGAAAGUAAACUGACCCCAGUACAUAUCACCUAUCUGAAGAUAUUUAACUGGGACGAUUAAACAAGACAACAAACUGACCUUUGUUCCCGUUCACGUGCAAGGGAGAGGGAAAAUCUUGGAAUCCUAAUUGGGCUUAAUGACUCUCUGAAGGCUGCUGAGCAUCCAGCAGCCAAUGCCAGCCAGGCACCUACCCAUGUGCCUCCCUCACCCACAAUAAAUCUGGGUCACUGUGCCAAGUGUCAGGGUUCUUCUGAUAUCUCAGAUUAAAGGAAUAACUACAUCACGAUUACAUAAACUGUACUUUAGCCCAUGGAUCUCCACAGCUCAUGUGUGUUUCAUUCAUUUCAUUUCAUUAUGAAGUAAUAUGUUGCAUGCAUUUUGCAAAUUCUUCUACUAUUUCCACCUGCCAGUACUUUCAGUGUCGUGCUGUUACAAAGUGGUUGUGGUUUAUAGGAUUUAGAUGCCCAGACCCAAAAGGUGGGAUGCUUGGCUGUCCUUGGAUCCUCAGCUGGAUGAGCUGGAGUCAAGUCCAGCACUGCCUGUGGCAGCUCUGAGUGCUGUUUGCAGGUAGCUCUGCAGAUCCACAGCUGAGCUGGAGCUACACAGCCCAUCUGCAGCAUCCUCCUUCUGAAAAGGAGGGUGUGAGUCUGAUGAGAUGGCAGGGCAUCAGCAGCUGGAAGGUGGGAUUGCCAAAGGGUACAGCCCACUCAAAUCACAGCCUGGACAUGGGAAAAAAAAUCAUUUCACUUGUAGUGAAAUCUCUUACAACUCCUAGUGCAGUUCUGAAGUGAACUGCCUGGAAAGUCAUCACUAGAAAAAGUCUCCAUCACUAGAGAUUUUCAAGACCCUGCCACCAAAAGUCAUGGCUGACCUGCCAACACAUCAGUACUCUCCCUUUACAUUAGGUUCUGUAGUUUAACUUUCUUUGGUCAGCAUUCAUUAU